AUUGAACGCUGGCGGCAUGCCUUACACAUGCAAGUCGAACGGCAGCACGGGAGCAAUCCUGGUGGCGAGUGGCGAACGGGUGAGUAAUAUAUCGGAACGUGCCCGGUCGUGGGGAUAACGUAGCGAAAGCUACGCUAAUACCGCAUACGAUCUACGGAUGAAAGCGGGGGAUCGCAAGACCUCGCGCGAUUGGAGCGGCCGAUAUCAGAUUAGGUAGUUGGUGAGGUAAAGGCUCACCAAGCCGACGAUCUGUAGCUGGUCUGAGAGGACGACCAGCCACACUGGGACUGAGACACGGCCCAGACUCCUACGGGAGGCAGCAGUGGGGAAUUUUGGACAAUGGGCGAAAGCCUGAUCCAGCAAUGCCGCGUGAGUGAUGAAGGCCUUAGGGUUGUAAAGCUCUUUUACCCGAGAUGAUAAUGACAGUAUCGGGAGAAUAAGCUCCGGCUAACUCCGUGCCAGCAGCCGCGGUAAAGUG
rnacentral:rRNA from 1 species